rnacentral:rRNA from 1 species
UAUUGGUCAAUGGGCGCGAGCCUGAACCAGCCAAGUAGCGUGAAGGAUGACGGCCCUAUGGGUUGUAAACUUCUUUUAUAUGGGAAUANNACAGGGUAUGCAUACCCUCUUGUAUGUACCAUAUGAAUAAGGAUCGGCUAACUCCGUGCCAGCAGCCGCGGUAAUACGGAGGAUCCGAGCGUUAUCCGGAUUUAUUGGGUUUAAAGGGAGCGUAGGCGGGUUGUUAAGUCAGUUGUGAAAGUUUGCGGCUCAACCGUAAAAUUGCAGUUGAUACUGGCAUCCUUGAGUACAGUAGAGGUAGGCGGAAUUCGUGGUGUAGCGGUGAAAUGCUUAGAUAUCACGAAGAACUCCGAUUGCGAAGGCAGCCUGCUGGACUGUAACUGACGCUGAUGCUCGAAAGUGUGGGGAGCAAAC